rnacentral:sRNA from 1 species
ACAUCAGUGGGUGUGAGCUCUCCGGGAUGGGAACACACGAGCCAGCGAGGUCAGAUACACCAAGCCCUUUGCCUCCCCAGCUCGGAAGCAGCUCCCGAAACGGACCAUUCAGGAAGUCCUGGAAGAGCAGAGUGAGGAUGAGGACAGAGAAGCCAAGAGGAAGAAGGAGGAGGAAGGUUCAAUGGGAUUUUUUUGCCAUCUGACCGUUCUGUCUAUCGUCAGAAGCGGAGACCCCGAAAGAAAGCCUCACAGAGGCUGAAGUGGCAACAGAGAAGGAAGGAGAAGACAGGGACCAGGCCACCACGCCUCCCAAGCCCCUAAAGACCUCCAAAGCAGAGACCCCGACGGAAAGCGUUUCAGAGCCUGAGGUGGCCACGAAGCAGGAACUGCAGGAGGAGGAAGAGCAGACCAAGCCUCCCCGCAGAGCUCCCAGGACGCUCAGCAGCUUCUUCACCCCCCGGAAGCCAGCAAUCAAAAAAGAAGUGAAGGAAGAGGAGCCAGGGGCUCCAGGAAAGGAGGGAGCUGCUGAGGGACCCCUGGAUCCAUCCGGUUACAAUCCUGCCAAGAACAACUAUCAUCCCGUGGAAGAUGCCUGCUGGAAACCGGGCCAGAAGGUUCCUUACCUGGCCGUGGCCCGGACGUUUGAGAAGAUCGAGGAGGUGUCUGCUCGGCUCCGGAUGGUGGAGACGCUGAGCAACUUGCUGCGCUCCGUGGUGGCCCUGUCGCCUCCAGACCUCCUCCCUGUCCUCUACCUCAGCCUCAACCACCUUGGGCCACCCCAGCAGGGCCUGGAGCUUGGCGUGGGUGAUGGUGUCCUUCUCAAGGCAGUGGCCCAGGCCACAGGUCGGCAGCUGGAGUCCGUCCGGGCUGAGGCAGCCGAGAAAGGCGACGUGGGGCUGGUGGCCGAGAACAGCCGCAGCACCCAGAGGCUCAUGCUGCCACCACCUCCGCUCACUGCCUCUGGGGUCUUCAGCAAGUUCCGCGACAUCGCCAGGCUCACUGGCAGUGCUUCCACAGCCAAGAAGAUAGACAUCAUCAAAGGCCUCUUUGUGGCCUGCCGCCACUCAGAAGCCCGGUUCAUCGCCAGGUCCCUGAGCGGACGGCUGCGCCUUGGGCUGGCAGAGCAGUCGGUGCUGGCUGCCCUCUCCCAGGCAGUGAGCCUCACGCCCCCGGGCCAAGAAUUCCCACCAGCCGUGGUGGAUGCUGGGAAGGGCAAGACAGCAGAGGCCAGAAAGACGUGGCUGGAGGAGCAAGGCAUGAUCCUGAAGCAGACGUUCUGCGAGGUUCCCGACCUGGACCGAAUUAUCCCCGUGCUGCUGGAGCAUGGCCUGGAACGUCUCCCGGAGCACUGCAAGCUGAGCCCAGGGAUUCCCCUGAAACCAAUGUUGGCCCAUCCCACCCGGGGCGUCAGCGAGGUCCUGAAACGCUUUGAGGAGGCAGCUUUCACCUGCGAAUACAAAUAUGACGGGCAGAGGGCACAGAUCCAUGCCCUGGAAGGCGGGGAGGUGAAGAUCUUCAGCAGGAAUCAGGAAGACAACACUGGGAAGUACCCGGACAUCAUCAGCCGCAUCCCCAAGAUUAAACUCCCAUCGGUCACAUCCUUCAUCCUGGACACCGAAGCCGUGGCUUGGGACCGGGAAAAGAAGCAGAUCCAGCCAUUCCAAGUGCUCACCACCCGCAAACGCAAGGAGGUGGAUGCAUCCGAGAUCCAGGUGCAGGUGUGUUUGUACGCUUUCGACCUCAUCUACCUCAAUGGAGAGUCCCUGGUACGUGAGCCCCUUUCCCGGCGCCGGCAGCUGCUCCGGGAGAACUUUGUGGAGACAGAGGGCGAGUUUGUCUUCGCCACCUCCCUGGACACCAAGGACGUCGAGCAGAUCGCCGAGUUCCUGGAGCAGUCGGUGAAAGACUCCUGCGAGGGGCUGAUGGUGAAGACCCUGGAUGUUGAUGCCACCUACGAGAUCGCCAAGAGAUCGCACAACUGGCUCAAGCUGAAGAAGGACUACCUUGAUGGCGUGGGUGACACCCUGGACCUGGUGGUGAUCGGCGCCUACCUGGGCCGGGGGAAGCGGGCUGGCCGGUACGGGGGCUUCCUGCUGGCCUCCUACGACGAGGACAGUGAGGAGCUGCAGGCCAUAUGCAAGCUUGGAACUGGCUUCAGCGACGAGGAGCUGGACGAGCAUCACCAGAGCCUCAAGGCCCUGGUGCUGCCCAGCCCACGCCCUUACGUGCGGAUAGAUGGCGCUGUGAUUCCCGACCACUGGCUGGACCCCAGCGCCGUGUGGGAGGUGAAGUGCGCUGACCUCUCCCUCUCCCCCAUCUACCCUGCUGCGCGGGGCCUGGUGGAUAGUGACAAGGGCAUCUCCCUUCGCUUCCCUCGGUUUAUUCGAGUCCGUGAAGACAAACAGCCGGAGCAGGCCACCACCAGUGCCCAGGUGGCCUGUUUGUACCGGAAGCAAAGUCAGAUUCAGAACCAACAAGGCGAGGACUCAGGCUCUGACCCUGAAGAUACCUACUAAGCCCUCGCCCUCCUAGGGCCUGGGUACAGGGCAUGAGUUGGACGGACCCCAGGGUUAUUAUUGCCUUUGCUUUUUAGCAAAUCUUCUGUGGCAGGCUAUGGUUUUUGAAAGUCAGGGGAGGGGUGUGUGUGUGAGGGGGUGGCUUACUUCGGAGUCUGGGAUUCAUCCCAUCAUUUCUUUC